rnacentral:rRNA from 1 species
CCUACGGGAGACAGCAGUGGGGGAUAUUGCACAAUGGGGGAAACCCUGAUGCAGCGACGCCGCGUGAGUGAAGAAGUAUUUCGGUAUGUAAAGCUCUAUCAGUAGGGAAGAAAAUGACAGUACCUGACCAAGCAGCCCCGGCUAACUACGGGCCAGAAGCCGGGGGAAUACGAAGGUGGCAAGCGUUGCCCGGAUUUACUGGGUGUAAAGGGGAUGCAGCGGGGAAGACAAGUCAGAUGGGAAAUCCCGCGGCUCAACCGCGGAACUGCAUUUGAAACUGUUUCUCUUGAGUACCGGAGAGGUCGUCGGAAUUCCGUGUGUAGCGGUGAAAUGCGUAGAUAUAAGGAAGAACACCGGUGGCGAAGGCGGAUGACUGGACGGCAACUGACGGUGAGGCGCGAAAGCGUGGGGAGCAAACAGGAUUAGAUACCCGGGUAGUC